GUUUCGGCUUCUGAUAUCCAUGAUGAAUGUAAAAAUCUGUUCUUUUCACGGCAAGUUUCCUCUCAAACCUGGUUCUGCCCACCCAGUGGGUGGUCUUCAGGUGGGAGGUAAUGUAAUAUAUUCAUGUGCACAUAAAAAUGUGGUUAAUGGUAAUUGCUUUUGGGGUCAAAGGCCGGUUACGGCCAAUCAGAUCCACAGGAGGGUUUGUGCUGAGCAGCAUUCAUGCACAUGGAAACCUGGUAAUUGCUUUUGGGGUCAAAGGCUGGUUACGGCCAAUCGGAUCCACAGGAGGGGUAUUUUAACCCAAUUCUCCUUUUGCUCAUUGCCCUGUCGUUGUUUCAUCCUCAUGGUAAUCUGAGAGCGCGUUCCUGAUCUUGAUUUUCUGGUGUUUGACUUUGACUUUGUUUUGACUUCCCUGAAUUCUGGUAUGCUUGACUUUUGGCUUUCCCUCAUCGUUGUGUCUGAUUCUGUGUUCCUGUCCUUGGUAAGUCCUUGGUAACUAUUCUUGGAUAGGAACCUGUAUUGACCGAACCAGUAGUUGCCCUACCUGACAAGCUUUCUGGAAUCCGCUCUAAGUAUAGCACUUUCAAGAUCGAUUGCGAGGUUCUCUUCUCCCUGAAGCCACACACCUAUGCCACAGACUUCGUAAAGGUGAAAACAGCGAUCACACAAUUGUCAGGGUAACCAAAGACAUGGGCACACCAGCUUCUGGCUGCGAAAAGUCCAGUUCUGGAUUCCUGGUUCUCCUUUAUAAAAUCCAUGGAGUCUCAAUGUGACAAGACAUGUAAACCCUCUGUUCCCAGAACUUCUUCAGUUCGUCCGCAUAAGCUGCAACUCUGUCAGGAAAUGGACUACACCAUUACCAAGUUACCUGAAAUUCCUGAGACGUCCUAUUCACCUACCUUGGACGUCAAAGAACCUAUGGAAAUCGGGAUAACCACGUUCAGUCAUCUAUAGAAAGAGCCAGAAGGUGGAGCUAUAGACUGUGCGGUUAAUGUAGGGAAAGGGGACACUUAUUGCCCUGUUCGCCCACCUAAACCCCCAGCUCUCCGACUGGGUACUACCUUUCUUCACCCUAUAAGCUCUGCAUGCCAGCCUGUAACUCAUCAAAGAUGCCAUCAUGCCUGUCCGUGCUUGGCCUCCCUGACUAUGCCACACUCAACUACAGUUGUUGCUCCUGAGGUUCUUCAGGAACCUGCCACUGAAAAACCCGAGACACCGGUUCUUGCAACUGCUCCGAGUAAUAUGAUGGCGAGUACCAAAACCACUUAUUGCUCUGUCAAAGAAGACCUUCCCUGUGACUGUACCUAUGCCUCAAAUGGUACUGUAGUCUGUAAAAAAGAUUUAGAGAUGUUCGCGAAGGCAUUGCAAGCCACAAAUUAAACUCCUGCCAAUAUAUCUAAGGCUAAAAAGUCCAAGAAAGUACCUUCUGGACAGUGAGUACAAGUCUCAACGAACCUGUUCAUGCCCAGCGGGCGCCUUUAAGGGGGAGGAACUGUCACAAUUCGCACUGUGCCAAGCAGACUGCCAGGCUUGGACAUCAUUUCUCAGGGCCUGGCUGGGAUCAUCAUUUUCUCAGGGCCUGGCUGGGAUCAUCACAGUCAAUGAACUUACCUUAUCACCUGUACCCCGAUGAGUAGAGGGGUUUCCACCGCCAGAGGGCGUCCUUCUCCCGAGUGUGAGGGGUAUUACGGCAAUCCAAGUAGUCUUCCGAGUAGAGAAGCUCUUACAAGAGCUAGUAGUGAUAGCUUUAUAGCAGUUUCUCCCAAUAAGAGACACGACUCUAGAUUGAGGAUGAAGAAAGUGUGUUUUAAUGGUAGCCAGACUGGCCUUUUAUGCAAGUUUCCCAACAAGGGUGACACCCACAUGGAUCUUGUUGGGCACAGGGACACAAGGCUAGCAAACCAAUAAAAACAGAGUUAUACAGUGAGACACUCCCAUACAGUAUGCACAAUACCUCCCCUCUGCCGGGGAGAUAAUUAAGGCUGAUAAUACAUUAAAUUAAUUAUCUCCAAGCAGAAAAACACACAUUUUAGAAAGUAUCAUAAGUACCCCAAAAUACAACCUAUCCCCCCCGAUCUGGGGGAACAAUAUAUUAAAAAAAAUCACCCAGAUCGGUUCAGGGGUUCGGGAUUUGCAUGGAGAUC
rnacentral:lncRNA from 1 species